rnacentral:rRNA from 1 species
AGGGAAUCUUCGGCAAUGGACGGAAGUCUGACCGAGCAACGCCGCGUGAGUGAAGAAGGUUUUCGGAUCGCAAAGCUCUGUUGUAAGAGAAGAACGAGUGUGAGAGUGGAAAGUUCACACUGUGACGGUAUCUUACCAGAAAGGGACGGCUAACUACGUGCCAGCAGCCGCGGUAAUACGUAGGUCCCGAGCGUUGUCCGGAUUUAUUGGGCGUAAAGCGAGCGCAGGCGGUUAGAUAAGUCUGAAGUUAAAGGCUGUGGCUUAACCAUAGUACGCUUUGGAAACUGUUUAACUUGAGUGCAAGAGGGGAGGGUGGAAUUCCAUGUGUAGCGGUGAAAUGCGUAGAUAUAUGGAGGAACACCGGUGGCGAAAGCGGCUCUCUGGCUUGUAACUGACGCUGAGGCUCGAAAGCGUGGGGAGCAAACAGGAUUAGAUACCCUGGUAGUCCACGCUGUAAACGAUGAGUGCUAGGUGUUAGACCCUUUCCGGGGUUUAGUGCCGUAGCUAACGCAUUAAGCACUCCGCCUGGGGAGUACGACCGCAAGGUUG